rnacentral:rRNA from 1 species
UACGUAGGGCGCAAGCGUUGUCCGGACUUAUUGGGCGUAAAGAGCUCGUAGGCGGUUUGUCGCGUCUGUCGUGAAAGCCCACGGCUUAACCGUGGGUCUGCGGUGGAUACGGGCAGACUAGAGGCAGGUAGGGGAGAAUGGAAUUCCCGGUGUAGCGGUGAAAUGCGCAGAUAUCGGGAGGAACACCGGUGGCGAAGGCGGUGAGCUGGGCAGUUGCUGACACUGAGGCGCGACAGCGUGGGGAGCAAACAGG